rnacentral:rRNA from 1 species
AGCAGCAGUGGGGAAUAUUGCACAAUGGGCGCAAGCCUGAUGCAGCCAUGCCGCGUGUGUGAAGAAGGCCUUCGGGUUGUAAAGCACUUUCAGUCAGGAGGAAAGGUUAGUAGUUAAUACCUGCUAGCUGUGACGUUACUGACAGAAGAAGCACCGGCUAACUCCGUGCCAGCAGCCGCGGUAAUACGGAGGGUGCGAGCGUUAAUCGGAAUUACUGGGCGUAAAGCGUACGCAGGCGGUUUGUUAAGCGAGAUGUGAAAGCCCCGGGCUCAACCUGGGAACUGCAUUUCGAACUGGCAAACUAGAGUGUGAUAGAGGGUGGUAGAAUUUCAGGUGUAGCGGUGAAAUGCGUAGAGAUCUGAAGGAAUACCGAUGGCGAAGGCAGCCACCUGGGUCAACACUGACGCUCAUGUACGAAAGCGUGGGGAGCAAACAGGAUUAGAUACCCUGGUAGUCCACGCCGUAAACGAUGUCUACUAGAAGCUCGGAGCCUCGGCUCUGUUUUUCAAAGCUAACGCAUUAAGUAGACCGCCUGGGGAGUACGGCC